rnacentral:rRNA from 1 species
UAGGGAAUCUUCGGCAAUGGGGGCAACCCUGACCGAGCAACGCCGCGUGAGUGAAGAAGGUUUUCGGAUCGUAAAGCUCUGUUGUAAGAGAAGAACUGUGAGAAGAGUGGAAAGUUUCUCACUUGACGGUAUCUUACCAGAAAGGGACGGCUAACUACGUGCCAGCAGCCGCGGUAAUACGUAGGUCCCGAGCGUUGUCCGGAUUUAUUGGGCGUAAAGCGAGCGCAGGCGGUUUGAUAAGUCUGAAGUAAAAGGGCUGUGGCUUAACCAUAGUACGCUUUGGAAACUGUCAAACUUGAGUGCAGAAGGGGGAGAGUGGAAUUCCAUGUGUAGCGGUGAAAUUGCGUAGAUAUAUGGAGGAACACCGGUGGCGAAAGCGGCUCUCUGGUCUGUAACUGACGCUGAGGCUCGAAAGCGUGGGGAGCGAACAGGAUU